GGGCAGCCUGGGUCAGGUUUGAGACAUAGUCGUUCUGUGAUGUCGACUGAAUGACGCGCUCGUCGAAGUUCAACUCUUUCCUGGCUU
rnacentral:tRNA from 1 species